rnacentral:rRNA from 1 species
UACGUAGGGUGCAAGCGUUGUCCGGAAUUAUUGGGCGUAAAGAGCUCGUAGGCGGUUUGUCGCGUCUGCUGUGAAAACUGGAGGCUCAACCUCCAGCCUGCAGUGGGUACGGGCAGACUAGAGUGCGGUAGGGGAGAUUGGAAUUCCUGGUGUAGCGGUGGAAUGCGCAGAUAUCAGGAGGAACACCGAUGGCGAGGCAGGUCUCUGGGCAUUAACUGACGCUGAGGAGCGAAAGCAUGGGGAGCGAACAGG